GGCAAGAAUGUUUUCUAAGACCGCGAACUCCAGAUUUGCGAUGUGGCAAAUCCUGAAGCGUACAUGGAUAUCUCUCACAGCUAAAGUAUCCCUCACCCCUACCCAGUGCUUCUUACCCCUGGCGCGAGAGAAUCACCUGCGGGGAGGAAAACUUUCAAAAUCCCUUAAACCCAAGUUGUAACCGAUCAAUUAAAUCAGAAUCCUUGCAGUUGGAUCUGAAAAAAAUACGGUUUAAAGUUGUGCAGGUGAUUACAAUGUGUAGGCACGCCACAAAACCAUGGGUUU
rnacentral:lncRNA from 1 species